rnacentral:tRNA from 1 species
GGGAAGGUAGCUCAGUGGUAGAGUGCUUGCCUUGUAUGCAUGAGGCCCUGGGUUCGAGUCCUCAGCGCCA